CUGUUCCCCUGGGAGUUCUAAAAUUGCUGCAGCAGCCUCCACUCAGCCUGAGGAUGACAUCAAUACACAGAGGAAGAAGAGUCAGGAAAAGAUGAGAGAAGUUACAGAUGCUCCUGGGCGACCCCCAGAGCUUACCAUUCCUUAGACUUCUUGAUGUGGUGCUAACAGAUUUGUAUGUGAAAUGCGACACUUUCCUGAUUCCCCUUGCAGGACUUGUGACAGGGGUGUGGCUCACCUGUUCAAACUCCUUGAAGAGAGGGGAGCAUGGAGAUGGGCAGGUGCACAGGCCACGGCAAGCGCUUUGGGCUCUGGCUCCAUGAUAGCGUCUAGGUGUGGGUGCCUGCAACCACAGUGUUACAAAGCUCUUUCAGCUUUGCCAUCUGCACACAGCUUGAGUCUGCAGCUCCACAGACUCUCUGACUUAUCUCUAAAGCAGAGGGCCAGUUUGACAGCUUUCUGUAUCCCAAGCUCUUGCCAGGCAUCCCAGAAGAGUCAGACCACAUGUGGGCUCAAAGGAUGAGUGCAAGAUUUUAUUGAGUGGUGGAGGCAGCUCUCAGCAAGAUGGAUGUGGAGCCGGAAUGGGGGAAUGGAGUAGGAAGGUGAUCUUCCCAUGGAGUCAGGCUGCCCAGUGGCCGGACUCUUCUCCAAUCCCCCAAGGCCAAACUCCAUUCAGUGUCCAAUGUCCCUCCUCUUCCCUCUUUCUCCGCGUCAUUGUUUGCCAUCCAUCUGGUUGCCUCCUUGUCUCCUCACCUGCUGGUCUGCCCUGGAUCUUAGGUUUGGAAGUUUAUACAGGGACAGACUGGAGGCAUGGUGGGCCAAAAGGCAAAUUUUGGGAGUGUGAAAACUGAAAUGCCCUUUCUCAUUUAGGGGCACAGGUAUCCAGGCUGGAGGGUGGGACCUUUGCUGGGAAAUCACCCUCUUCUACCCAGUAUUUCCCUGUCUCCUGUCCAUAUCACAUGGAGUUUCAACCAUUCAGAAACACGUUUUUCUCACCUGGUUUUAUGCUAAUCAAAACAACUAUAAAAAUGAAUAAUUUUCUCUUUACAACCUCCCCUGCUGUUGAGCUAUCCAGGAGUGGUCAGAAGGUGUGCAAGCUGCUGAGUCAACCUGACUGCAUCAACCCCAUUAGCUUGAAGGGUGGACAAUAGUAUUGAGAAAUAGUAAAAUAACAAACAGUGCAGAAGAGGCAGGCAUCUCAAAAAGUGCUUGGUGGAAUCGUCACUCAUCCAGAGUGAACACGGUGACACAGUUGUUUCUUCAGAGUUCACUCUAUGAACAAACUGAGCAAUGUGGCAUUUACUUUAAAUUUCAUGGGUUGUGAAAUUUCAUCUAAUGUCAUAAUUAAAACUUCCUACAUAUUGCUUUAGGCAUCUCUCUCUUUUCCCCAAAAUUUUCUCCAGGGCAUCCGCAGAACCUCAGCCUCCUCCACAGCCUCCUCCACAGCCUCCCAGCUCUUUCUUUUUCCUCCUGCACGGCUUUGGGUGUCCCACCAUUUCCCCCAGUAAUGCAGCAAACUGUGAGUUUCCACAGCCUCUCACAGACAUGACUUCACCCACAAACCUCUGUGAGACUCAAGCGUACCCCUUCUUCUUCACAUAGAUCCUCUUCACCCCAGAGAAUUGAGUCAACCAAACAGGAAAUCUCAGGACAAACAGUGCUGGCAAACAUCAUUUUGUUUAAAGUGUCAUAUCAACAUAUAUUUGUUGAGAAACUAUUUGGAGUUCUUUGCAAACUGUAACACUUGUUUAGGAAAAAAGAUAGGGAGAAGAAAUUAGGAUCAGUUAUUUACUUGAGGCAUGUGAGUGUUCUUCAUGUAUGACUCAAGGACAUCCCAUUUCUUUCCUCCCCGGUCUUCCAUCUUACAUCUGCUUUCCUCCCUCUUCCCAUGUUCCUUUCCUCAUGUUCCUCUCCCUCUCCCUCACCUAUAGGACUGAGAAUUCCUGUGGUCUCCUGAAAUCAGUUUUUUUCCACCACAUUGUAUACGAGCUGUGGAAAGUUUUAGUUCUUGUCGACUCCACGACCCACAUUGGUCAGGCAGAAGCUCCCGUGUAAAAGGUACCCCUUGAGCAUUGGCAAGGUGCAUGACACACACUUGGUCACUGGAGCAAAUGAGUAGAGAGUGAUAAAUAGAAGAAGGGAGCUUUGAGCCUGAGCUCUCUGGAGCAUAAGAGUGGUUGAGGCUUGGCACUUGCCACCUAGAUUUCAGACAAUGUGUCAGGAAUCCUGGAUGUCCAGAAAGAAACCUGUUCCAGGGCUGGAGUCCCAACAUAGAGCUUUUAUUUAGGCAGUGUUGAGCAAUAAUAUGUGGUUGGAGUUCUGCAGAGGGACCCCAUAGGUGCAUUGCGUAACGAAGCUACGGGAGAAAGGCCUCACCCCUAAAAAUUCCAGAAUUAUAAAUCUACCAGCUGCUUACAACUUCAGCCUGGAAAAGCCAGGGGCAUUAAACUCCAAACUGUGAGGGCAGCCAUGUGAGCUGCACCCUGCAAAGCCACAGGAAGCAAAUAGAAGCAAUCAUGGCACUGCAAGUUGUGACUACUCCACGAUGUGAAUCAUGGAUCAUGCAAAUUACAUUAAUGUUCUAACCUGCCCUCCAAAGGGAGAAUGAAGUAAAAAUUAUCCCAUACAGUAUGUCCAGGGUCGUUGCCAGCUAAUUGCUCUUAUAACCUGUGAGGGAGGAAGAAAGAAACAUUUGCAACCAGGCCAGUGACAGAAAUGGAUUCGAAACAUCAGCGUGUGAAGCUGAAUGAUGGCCACUUCAUGCCCGUCCUGGGAUUUGGCACCUAUGCGCCUGCAGAGGUAAUAAUAAUAUUUUUAGUGUUGAGAGUUCAAAAGAGCUAGAGUAAGUGGAAGCUAGAAUAAGUGGAAGCUGACCAGGUUGUCAGGCUUGUGUUCCCAAGUUACCUGCAUGACUCUCCUUUAAACGUCAGUCUUUGUUCUGCAAUGCAGUCUUGUCACAGGGUCAUCUACUGCUUAUUUGGGGCACUGUUUUGUCUUCUGUUUAUGUUUGUUUCACAGCUUGUCAGAGUCUAUAAAACUCAGCAGAAAGAACACGGCCUGCCUGCUCCCUCUCUUGAAGAUUGAUUGCAAUGGGAGUGGUUUCUCUGUUUCUUUGUAUAGUUGAACAGAUAUUUACUUCUUCCAAGAAGACACAAUUCAGAGGAAUAUUAAUGGCAAAAGUUAGUGGAGACAGGUUGCAUGAAAUCUGUUGGGAGAGUAUCACUGUUCUGUUGGGUGGCCUUGAGCACCAAACUGUAAUACUAGAGCUGGACUAAAGAGAGUUUCCCAUGUACUACUCUCAGCUCUGGGAAAAUUACCUGAAACGAUAAAAUAUCCUCAUUUUAA